AGCGGCAUAAGUUCCCGCACUUCACUUCGGCGGCCCAGGGUUUCACCAGUUCAGAUCCCGGGCGCCGCUCAUCAAGCCAUGCUGAGGCGACAUCCCACAUAGCAGAACCAGAAGGACCUACAGCUAGAAUAUACAACUGUGCACUAGGGGGCUUUGGGAGGAAGGAAAAAAAAGGCUUAAAAAUAAAUUAAAAAAAACAAACAACAAAAUCUGAUAGACACAUAGAGAGGGCCAUCUGUAUCCAUGGGCUCAGCAUCCAAGGAGCGAAAGGCUUACGAUGGCUGCAUCUGUACGGAACAUGUACAGACCGUUUUCUUGUCACCAUCCCCCACACAAUACAGUAUAACAACUAUUUCCACAGCAGUUACGUUAUAUCAGCUCUUAUAAGUACUCUGGAGAUGAUGUGAGGGACACGGGAGGAUAUGCGUAGGUCGUGUGCAAACACUACGCCCUUCUAUAUAAGGGGCUUGAGCAUCGCAGAGUUUGGUACCGGGAGGGGCCCUGGAACUGAUGCCCCUGCAUACCAGGGAUGACCGGAACUAGUAAGGAGAAGGAUCGGUGGUCAAACACCUCCCAAGAAAGCAAGCCCAGGACUGGGUGCCCUCACUGGUGCUUCCACCAAACUUUUAAAAAGGAAUAAACAUACAUGCUCCUCAAACUCUUCCGAACAAUGAAGAGGCGGGGACACUUCCGAAUUCACUCUGUGAGGCCAGCGUUACCCUGACACCAAGGGCAGACAAACGACACACAGAGGGGUGGGGGAUGCAUGGAGGACACCAGGAGGGGACUGGGACUGGGAGCCCAGAGAAGGGAAAGGGGACAGACAGGAUCAACAUUGAGAGGUCUCAGUUUUACAGCUCUGAGGAGGGGGCCGGUGGCCUCAGAGAGGCCUCUGAAGGGCGAUUGGAAACUGGAGACCGCCGAGCUUCCUCCUGGGAUCUCCCCAAGGCAACCGCUCCUCAGUGAGAAGGAAGCAGGAUUUCUGCCAAUCAGCCCCUCCCAGCAGGCCCGGAGUUCACGCAGGCCCUCCUGGCCUGUGACUAAUGACUAAUGGUCCCGGGUAGAGUCUGACGGCUAGAAUCCUUGCAAACGGCGGAGACACACAGCCCAGCACCCGCCCUCCCCCAGUUCUCAUGGGUGGGGCACAAGGGUGCAAGGGGAUAUAUUCUGAGCCGCUGAGGAAGUGCCUCCAGAUGCUGGUUUCCUGAGUGUAGGCUGAAGCUAGCAGGAGCCAUGAAAGGCAUCUAUCUCGUCCUGCUGGCCGUGCUGCUGUGCUCCCAGCAAGCCCUGAGCCUGCAGUGCUACAACUGCACUGAAGAAGAGGAUGUCAGCAAGUGCCAGACCACCAUCUCAUGUGACUCCACACCGAGCAUCUGCUAUAAGGGCGGCAGGACCUUGACCAAGACCAGUGAAAUCCCCUUGUAAGAUACCUGAUGUCUCGUGCCAUCUAGCAAACACCUUCCACUGCAAGUCUUGACAUGCCCGGCUCAGCUGGUGCUUACUAAACAAAGGGUGGUUGAAAGAGAAAUGGACGUCUAUUGUGCAGAAGAAAGAAGAACGUCUCUUCUUUCCUUACAACAGAAGAGAGACUCAGACUCCCUUCUCGCCCAAGCGUUAGUCAGGCUCCUCUGAAGCGCCUUCUCAAGUACGCCUCAGCCUUGG
ensembl:lncRNA